GUAGGUGGCAAGCGUUGUCCGGAAUUAUUGGGCGUAAAGCGCGCGCAGGUGGUUCUUUAAGUCUGAUGUGAAAGCCCCCGGCUCAACCGGGGAGGGUCAUUGGAAACUGGGGAACUUGAGUGCAGGAGAGGAAAGUGGAAUUCCACGUGUAGCGGUGAAAUGCGUAGAUAUGUGGAGGAACACCAGUGGCGAAGGCGACUUUCUGGCCUGUAACUGACACUGAGGCGCGAAAGCGUGGGGAGCAAACAGGGAUUAGAUACCCUGGUAGUCCACGCCGUAAACGAUGAGUGCUAAGUGUUGGGGGGGUUUCCCGCCCCUCAGUGCUGCAGCUAACGCGUUAAGCACUCCGCCUGGGGAGUACGGUCGCAAGACUG
rnacentral:rRNA from 1 species